rnacentral:lncRNA from 1 species
UUUUUCUGAUUCGUACAUUAGAAACUUCCGUGGCAAAUAAUACCGGUCUACGUGGCACGCCUUCUCUGACCCAACUGCUGACGUCACCCAUCGUGUUCUCUGGAGGGAAGCUCCGCUGAAACCUCUCCCUGGACCCCACCGCACUCCACUCUUUUCCCCUUUCUCUUCUUUUCCACGGCACCUUCUUCCUCAACCUUCCUCCCCCUCCUCUCAUUUAUAGACCACGCCUCUCCCUCCUCACUCUCAUUUUCCUCUCGUUGCUUUUUUUUUUUUUUACUCUUUUCCCCUUUCUCUUCUUUUCCACGGCACCUUCUUCCUCAACCUUCCUCCCCCUCCUCUCAUUUAUAGACCACGCCUCUCCCUCCUCACUCUCAUUUUCCUCUCGUUGCUUUUUUUUUUUUUUUUUUUUCUCUUUCGGAAAAAAAGAGAAAGAAAAACGAAUCAUUUUCAGAUUAUUCAAGCUCGCCACCAUGAUUUCCGCUCUUAAGUUUCGAGUGUGCUCCGCGAAGCGUGGGAUGUUUUCUCUCGCCUUGCUUCUUCUCUUCCUCGGUCAUCUCAGCCCGGUGGCCGCUCAGCUGAGUCCGCCCGACCCAUUUCAGAACCCGCGAUUCAAUCCCUCGAUGGCUAUCAUAGUCGUCGUGUUAAUUUCCGCCAUGUUCUUCAUGGCGUUCUUCUCCAUCUACAUCCGUCACUGCUCCGACUCAAAUAAUGCCGGGAGUGUGCGCCCGCUCGCCGUUCUUUCCCGCCGACUUGCCGCAGCUCGCGGGCUGGACCGCGCCGUGAUCGAGAAAUUCCCCACUUUUGUUUACUCCGACGUCAAGGGGUUGAAGAUCGGAAAAGGCGCGCUGGAGUGCGCUGUAUGUCUCUGCGAGUUCGAGGAUGACGAAACGCUGCGUUUAAUCCCCAAGUGCGAUCAUGUCUUCCACCCUGACUGCAUCGACGCCUGGCUCGCUUCCCACACUACCUGCCCUGUCUGCCGUGCCAACCUCACUCCCCAGCCGGAAGAUGAGAAUUCGCCCGCGGUUCAACCCACCGAGUCUUCCCGCGAGGAAAACGACAUCGAGUCCCAAAACGACGCCGUUCUUUCCGAUCACGAAAACGACACCGUCACAGAAAACGCCGGCUCGGCUCCACCUGCGCCGGAGCAGCAAGUGGUUCCCGCUUUGAAAAGGAACCGUACACGUGGAUCUUCGAGAUCCGGAAUUUCGUUUAUCAAGUUCCUGCGUUCGAACUCAACCGGGCACUCUGUGGUGCAGCCAGGAGAAAACACCGAGCGAUUCACGCUGCGGUUGCCAGUCGAAGUGAGGAAGCAGAUAUUGAAAGAUCGGAAGCUGAACCGGGCGACCAGUCUGAUUGUUCUGCCUGGAGAAGCGAGCUCAAGGAGAGGUUACCGAACUGGAGUUGAUGGCGGGAGCAGCAGAGGAAAAUCUAGUAGUUACCGGCGGAUUGACCAGCCGGAACGGUUGAUCGUCAAGUCAGACCGAUGGGUCUUUCUCAGAACCCCUUCGUUUUUCUCAAGAGCGUCGUCUUUCAAGUCCCCCAGGGUGGCGGCCAAUGACGGCGAGGGUAUGUCGACUAUGUUGAACGGGCCGGGAGCUCAGGGCAGUGAUUCCGGUCGUCUUCCGGUGUAGUAAUUAGCUACCGGGCCCCGUAUUAAUACGAAUUUUUUUUUAUUUUCUAAAUUGUGUAUAAUACGCUUUUUUUUGGGUAUUUUUUAAUUAUUUUAUUUAUAAGAACAAUGUAGUUAGACACACAAAGUCUUUUGAACACAUGCUUCCGAAAGCUAAUUUUUAUUUUAAUUUCGUUUCUAUUUAGAACUAUCAUAACGUAAAUAUUUACUAUGAGUAAAUUACAAGAAUUUGAAUAUUAAACGUUAGUAUUUAUAUAUAUAUAUUAUAAUUUAAUAAAUACCUUAUAUUAUAAAUUAACACCCAUAAAAAACACACCCUUUGUUCAUUUAUUUGCUAACUUUAUUUUAAAAUUCAUGAAUUCUGAAAUCAAAUGUGAACUUGGAAUGUGCUGUGGAAUCAAAUUCAAAGUAAGGCAAUGAGUUCUUUAUGCAUUGGCAAGUUGGGUUUUCAGGAUAUGAUUUAAUUGAAAAAUAAUAAGUUAUUGGACCACAACCUUAUGGACCGAUAUGGAUGGCAUUAAUUAUUG